GACGCUGUGGAGUAGUGGCUAGCACAUUUGUUGCCUAGUCACCAACAAACACUCAGGUUCGAUUCCUAACAUCGACC